UGAAUGACUCAUGUCACACAAAAUGGUGUU
rnacentral:piRNA from 1 species